GCUGGGCGUGGUGGUACACACCUAUAAUCCCAGCAGCUUGGGAGGCUGAGACAGGAGAAUCAGAGUUCAAAGCCAGCCUCAGCAACAGCGAGGCACUAAGCAACUCAGUGAGACCCUGUCUCUA
rnacentral:sRNA from 1 species